rnacentral:rRNA from 1 species
AACGAACGCUGGCGGCAUGCCUAACACAUGCAAGUCGAACGAGACCUUCGGGUCUAGUGGCGCACGGGUGCGUAACGCGUGGGAACCUGCCCUUAGGUUCGGAAUAACUCCCCGAAAGGGGUGCUAAUACCGGAUAAUGUCUUCGGACCAAAGAUUUAUCGCCUUUGGAUGGGCCCGCGUUGGAUUAGCUAGUUGGUAGGGUAAAAGCCUACCAAGGCGACGAUCCAUAGCUGGUCUGAGAGGAUGAUCAGCCACACUGGGACUGAGACACGGCCCAGACUCCUACGGGAGGCAGCAGUGGGGAAUAUUGGACAAUGGGCGAUAGCCUGAUCCAGCGAUGCCGCGUGAGUGAUGAAGGCCUUAGGGUUGUAACGCUCUUUUACCCGGGAUGAUAAUGACAGUACCGAGAGAAUAAGCUCCGGCUAACUCCG